AUGGCGAGGUGACUUGACUGGCAUUAGCGUUCAACCCACCUCGAAACCCGCUCGCUGUCCGUCAAAAGUAUUCCCAAUCAAAACACUCAAUUACCUAGAGUCGGGGAGUUUAGUGGUGCUGUGAACGAACCACCCCAACACACAGUGCAUAGAGAACUUUUAUGGAUGGUUAGUGUGCGUGGGGAUUGUUGAGAAGUAAGAUGCUCGUCUGACAGUGAAGUCAGCGAGUGAUUUUUAUUGUGCUGUUGUGUGAGGCAUGGACGAUCCACAACAAAGAAUGAUGCAUCCUGUUUCACAGCAUACUUCCGUAAGCAUGGCCGGUCAUGUUGUACCCCAACACGGCUACGGCAUGCCCCAGCAACCGCAUGGCGUGGAUCCUAAUAGUCAACCACCCCCACAAGACCAGGACGUUCGUAAACAUGACAUCUCUGAAAUACUUCAACAGAUAAUGAAUAUCACCGACCAGAGUCUUGACGAAGCGCAAGCACGGAAACAUACACUCAACUGUCAUCGUAUGAAGCCAGCCCUAUUCAGCGUGCUGUGUGAAAUCAAGGAAAAAACAGUUCUAAGUCUACGGAAUACACAAGAAGAAGAACCACCUGACCCUCAGCUAAUGCGACUGGACAAUAUGCUUUUAGCUGAGGGUGUUGCUGGUCCAGAAAAAGGCGGUGGAGCUGGAGCUGCCGCUAAUGCUUCAGCCGCAGCCUCAAGCGGUCCUCAGUCAGAAAACGCAAUAGAGCACUCCGACUACCGCGCCAAAUUAGCACAAAUUCGCCAAAUAUAUCACCAAGAGCUAGAGAAAUAUGAACAGGCAUGUAACGAGUUCACGACGCACGUAAUGAACCUGCUACGAGAACAAAGUCGAACAAGGCCGAUAACGCCGAAAGAAAUCGAGCGAAUGGUUCAAAUAAUCCACAAGAAGUUCAACUCCAUCCAAGUCCAGUUGAAACAGAGUACGUGUGAAGCAGUCAUGAUCCUCAGGUCUAGGUUUCUCGACGCCAGGAGAAAAAGGCGGAAUUUUAGUAAACAAGCAACAGAAAUCCUCAACGAAUACUUUUAUUCCCACCUCAGUAAUCCCUACCCUAGUGAAGAAGCAAAAGAAGAACUGGCGAGGAAGUGUGGUAUCACAGUCUCUCAGGUGUCAAAUUGGUUCGGUAAUAAACGAAUUAGGUACAAGAAAAAUAUCGGUAAAGCUCAAGAAGAAGCCAACCUAUACGCUGCCAAAAAAGCAGGAAGCCCCCGCCUGUCAUCAAGCUCUGCGGGUUCUUCUCCUUACAAUAUGGUGCCAACUUCUCAAGGUCAGCAACCGGGUCAAAUGAUCAGCCCACCGCCACCUGGGGCACCCCAGGAUUCUAUGUAUAACAUGAGCUUGAAUGGUGGGGACUCCUACCAGUCCAUGGGGGCCAAUGUACAGUCACAGGCUAACGCCCUCAGGCAUGUCAUCUCCCAAACAGCGGGGUAUGAACACGGAUCGGGUGGUCUCUACGAUCCCAGCAUGCAUCAGGUUGUGAUGGGAUAGGUCCAGUUCUGUAACUCUUUAAGUCCCGGGUCGUCCUAAAUCGUCAUCGCUUAGAACCGAUAUCUUCUCCUAGUGAUGACGUCACGGGACUUAAAGGCCACCAGAAUUACAUCCAUAGUAGCUCAGCCAAUUUUCUUCUCUAUUAAGGAGAUCUUCUCCAGCAAUCCGAACUCUUGUUAUAUAAAUAUUAUUUACGAACGAACUUGUCAAAUGAAGAGCCUAUAGAGACCAUCAGGCCCCGAAACGGUGGUUGAUAGCCUCAGACUGACUCUCAAUUUUUAUGUGCCACUGUGAGUUGACUGCGACCGGGAAGAGUGGAAUACCUCUGACCACUUCUCAUCGUAGAACCUUCUCUCAAAAUAACAAAAUCCAAAAAAGAACUAUUGACGUUUGAACUUAGUGUGAGAAAACACACUAACAAAAAAAAAUCGUGCCAUAUUUCAACAAACAGAGGAACUUGGCGAACUUGUUAUAAAUAAAACAACAAAAAAUUGUGGGGGUCGGUUUUUUUUCUUCAACCCCUCACCUUCAUCAUAUACGUGUUAAAGCUUGCCUGUUUGAUGACGUCACAUCAAUAGGGCCUGCGCUCCAUCGUCCGUCAUCUAUAUGUCGUCCAUUUCUUAUCAUUGACAUUUCUUCUCCGACCCGAUUUUAUUGUGUGAUUUUUGUUUUUAUUUUCAGUACACCCCCCAUCAAAUUUUAUUUUGUUGAAUUAUAUUUUGUACUUAGAAUAUGAAUGUGUGAUCCGUCUUGACCUGGAGUGUGCGUUGACCUACUUCACCUCUCCUUAUGUGUUCAAUCGUUCUCUCACUGCGUUCUGUUACGGAUGGCCAGUUUCUUCAAUGAUUUAUUAGUUACAAUAGUCUAACCAAAAAGUGAAUUGCACCGUUAUUUUCUUCCAUCAGAAGAAUCAACUCACCGUUGAACUGCAGUGCAACGGUGAGUUAAACCUUAACCUUCUCGAUUCCGUGAAAUGACGGGGUGAGGUUUCGCCCUCUAUUUCUCGCUCCCGUGAAAUUUCCGGGCUGAAGUGUUCUGUAGCAACGCACCAUUAAGAAUAAAACUAAUUCAUUUCUUUUGCCCGGAAAGAAUUUUAUUUGUAAUUUUACACACCAGAUGGCAGUACCAGGAUAUUUUUAAGGUUGUAGAUAGUUAGUUUAUUUUAAACUAGAUGUCAGCACUAAUCAAAUACGUGUAUUUGGCAAAAUAGGCACUUUUAUGACCGUUUUCUUGAAAAUUAACCGAUCGUUGAGGUGUUAAGAGGAUGAUAUACCGCGGAAGAAAAUUUCGUCCCAAAUUCCUCUUUGUCCUUCAUUACAAACUUUAAAGAAAGAAAAAGUAAGUUUAGAAAUACCUGGAGUAUGUCAUGAAGUUUCAGUUGCUGAAAAAAAAUUCUUCAAAAUAUUAAAAUGCAAACAAAUUAUUAGUUGAGAACUUCACCGUUGCGUAAUCCUAAGUUAUCUUUUCAUAAUUUAUUUUCAUUUGUAUAUUUUAAAUUUUUCUUUUUAUUUGAAACUAAAUAACUUACUUUAGGUUUGUCUGAACUCACUUUUUUUACACUUUAAAUUAGUAAUGAAGGAAAAAGAGAAUUAACGAGGAAAAUUUUCUUCCGCUGUAUGGCGUCCUCUAAAUGCGAUGCAAAUUGGUUGCAGUCUUAAUAGGAUGUUAAGUUGAACUAUGUUUCCGUUUUAGUUGAACCAUAGCAUUGUAUAAUCAAGUUUAAGAAAUACAAUAAUAUGGUCCAUUUUUGCACUAUAUUAAGUUUUCAGAAAACUGCAGCGAUAUCGGGAUUCAACAUGCUACGAAACUUCUAAUAAAGUAGUUCCAAUUUAGUGCGUUUUAGAAACAUUUUAUUUUAAAAAAAGUAAAAAUCUAAUUUGGGUAAAAACUCUUUUAAAAAAAAUCUUUCUUUAGAAGGAUGUGUACAAAAAUGUAAAAGUAAUAAUAAUUAAAUUGUGGUCUGAAAUGAUAUUGAAAUUAAAUUACUCAAGGAUAAUAAUUUAUCCACUACACAUGGAUAAUAAUUUAUCCACUAGUUUGCCAUGCGUUGCAAUUAAUAUAAAUUGAGUAAAAAUGUAGCUGUAUUACUUUUUUCCGGUGCCAAUUGCUUAUUUCACUUAUUUUUCGGUGCAAUUCGCUUAUUUCGUUAUUUUCAACUCAUGUAUAACUUUUUUUUUUUUUUUUACUGUGAUCAGUAGUUACUAGUUGUUAUUAUAAACAUGAUUUGAAAUGUUAAAAUCAAAUUUUGUUUACUUGCGUAAACUAUCAUUACGAAAUACUAAUACUUACUAAUUUAAAUUUAUAUUGUUGUUAUGAAACUAAUGUUUUUCUGAAAUAUCGACAAAACAAAGCUACUUGAAUCGCAACAAACUGUUUAUAUUAUGAAGCUGUUUUUUUUUUUCUAAACUGAUAUUUGUUUCUAAAAUAGAAUUCUACAAUGUUUUUAAGUUCAUGGUAAAAGAAACAAAAUACAUAAUUUUAUAAUUAAAACAUUUUCAUUUUUUAAUUUAGGUUACGGGAUUUAAACUCAACUUAACCUAAAUUAAAAAUCCAUUUGCUUUGUUAUAAAACUAAUUUUUUUUGUGUGUUAAUAGAUAAAAUCUAUUAUGUGUAGAACGAUGAUAAUUUAUUCAAUAAUUGAAUACUUUGCUUUUUUUUUUAAGUUAACGGCAAGUGAUUUUUAACUACGCUGAAUUUAAGCUAAUAUAUUUUUUAACAGAUUUUAAUAUCACAAAAAUAGUUUUUAAUAUAUCAUACUCAUUUUUAUCACACCAUUGAUAUUAAUCAUUACUCUUCAUUAUCAACAUUAAUUCCGUUUUUAGAGAGCACUUUUAACGAAAAUAAAUCUGAAAUUUCACAUACCAAGGCCAUGUAUUUAAUGAAGUAAUAAGGAUUUUCUCGUUUGUUUUCUACGUUUUGCAUUUACAAUAGCUAUUGAAUAUAAAGGAUUUAUUAAUGUUGCCUAACUUAAAACAGCCUUUUAUUUUCAUAUAAUCAGAACUUGGUAACAUUUUGUGUUAAAACUAAAACGUUGAUAUUUCUUAAAAAUUGCGAAAUAAAUUAAAUUAAAAAUUAUUCGCAUGUUUAUUAUCGACGGUAUUAUCUCGAUAACUAUUGAUAAAAAUCGGAUACGAUAAUGUCGACAGGAUUGCUGUUGAUGAUAAUAUCGUUACCGUUAUUAACUAUCUAAUUUUUUACACUCUAACUUCUUUAAAACUAUUUCUGAAUAACUUAUUACGCAAUCUUGGUUAUAAUUACUCAAUGGUUAUAAUUCUGAAGUGUUCUUAAAAAAUUUAGAUUUUAAAAUAUGUAUUUAUUAAAAAAAAUACGUGUUUCACGUAUCCUUCACAAAUUAUAGAUUUUUGUUAUUGCAUGCGCAAAGUUUUUUAAAUAUCAAUAUUCAUUGCAAUAUUUAGCAAACAAAACUUCUGAAAUUGGCAGGCAUCCAAAUUGAUUCUUUUAAACAUUAAUAUACAUUAUUCUUUUUUAGAAAAUAUAAAUUAUUCAUAAAAAAAUGUUUUUCACAUUAUGUAAUGCUGUGUUAUUUAUUUAUGUAUUUAUACUUACAGAAUGCAGUGAGUUAACAAAGACCGCAAUUUUUUUUUAUUAAAAAAAAUGCUCAAAAUAGUUUCUGUAUAAAUCAUAACAUUUCAUUAUUUGUACAGUUAAGAACAUAAAUGUUCUUUUUAAAAUAAAAUAAAAAAAAUGAAAUUGAUCUUUGCAUCGUUACUACGUACGUACACCCAGGUCUAAAACAAAAUCUUGUACAGUUUUAAAUGAGAGACAGAUAAUGAAAAUAUAAAAUUGUUGGCCGCGGCCAUUUUUGUUUUAACUGACAUCAUCAAAAUUGUUUUGUUUUUAUGACUGUGAAUACUGAAAAUAAAUCAAUGACUCGAAAGAAGAAGAAAAAAAAACAAUAUUGGACAUGAUUGACCUGUCCGCUUGUGCAGUUCCCGAUCCCCUCAUGUACAGUUCCCCCCAAUCGUUUGUUGCGCCCCCUACUGUUAUACAUUUCUUUGUUUUUUCUCAUUCCUCUCAUGUGCUGUAGAAUAUAAUGAAUGAUAUGUGAAUAUCGGGCGAAUGCGUCGCCCUAAUCGAGUCAAGAACGGAAAUAAAUAUUUUGACUUUUUGUUA
rnacentral:misc_RNA from 1 species